ACGAACGCUGGCGGCGUGCCUAAUACAUGCAAGUAGAACGCUGAAGGAGGAGCUUGCUCUUCUGGAUGAGUUGCGAACGGGUGAGUAACGCGUAGGUAACCUGCCUGGUAGCGGGGGAUAACUAUUGGAAACGAUAGCUAAUACCGCAUAACAGUAGAUGUUGCAUGACAUUUACUUAAAAGGUGCAAUUGCAUCACUACCAGAUGGACCUGCGUUGUAUUAGCUAGUUGGUGGGGUAACGGCUCACCAAGGCGACGAUACAUAGCCGACCUGAGAGGGUGAUCGGCCACACUGGGACUGAGACACGGCCCAGACUCCUACGGGAGGCAGCAGUAGGGAAUCUUCGGCAAUGGACGGAAGUCUGACCGAGCAACGCCGCGUGAGUGAAGAAGGUUUUCGGAUCGUGAAGCUCUGUUGUAAGAGAAGAACGAGCGUGAGAGUGGAAAGUUCACACUGUGACGGUAUCUGACCAGAAAGGGACGGCUAACUACGUG
rnacentral:rRNA from 1 species